rnacentral:rRNA from 1 species
AUUGAACGCUGGCGGCAUGCCUUACACAUGCAAGUCGAACGGUAACGGGCCUUCGGGUGCCGACGAGUGGCGAACGGGUGAGUAAUACAUCGGAACGUGCCCGAUCGUGGGGGAUAACGAGGCGAAAGCUUUGCUAAUACCGCAUACGAUCUACGGAUGAAAGCAGGGGACCGCAAGGCCUUGCGCGGACGGAGCGGCCGAUUGCAGAUUAGGUAGUUGGUGGGAUAAAAGCUUACCAAGCCGACGAUCUGUAGCUGGUCUGAGAGGAUGAUCAGCCACACUGGGACUGAGACACGGCCCAGACUCCUACGGGAGGCAGCAGUGGGGAAUUUUGGACAAUGGGCGAAAGCCUGAUCCAGCCAUGCCGCGUGAAGGAUGAAGGCCUUCGGGUUGUAAACUGCUUUUGUACGGAACGAAAAGCCUUCUUUUAAUACAGGAGGGUCAUGACGGUACCGGAAGAAUAGGCACCGGCUAACUACGUG